UGCAAGUAGAUAACAUGGCGGGGGUAAACGAACAAGGGACGCACAGCGCGACCAUACAGAGGGAGAAAGAGCACGAAAAAUGCUAGCACUGCUGCCACUGCCAUCUUCUUCUUCUUCAUCUUCUUUCUCUCCUCUCUGUCUCUCGACGCAAAAGAAUAUAUCUCCUUUUAACUCAAACUCUUUGAAGCUAUCUUCUCUGCAGAAUGGAAGCAGCAGUAACUGGAGCGAUGGCAAUCCUUCUCGAAGACUUGCUCUCUUUCAACUCGGUGCUGCUAUCCCCGAGUCUCAUUUGUUGGGUGUAAGAACGUCUAAAUUGUUAAGAGGGGAUGGAAAUGUGAUGGAGUCUAGCGCAUCUCCGAAAAUGACGCAGGUGAGCACUGCAAUUGCUGAUCAAAAUGCAUUGGAGUGGGUUAACAAUGACAAAAGAAGAAUGCUGCAUGUUGUUUACCGUGUUGGUGAUUUGGAAAAGACAAUAAAAUUUUACACAGAAUGCUUGGGGAUGAAGUUGUUAAGAAAACGUGACAUUCCAGAGGAAAGAUAUACAAAUGCUUUUCUUGGAUAUGGUCCUGAAGAUUCCAAUUUUACUGUUGAACUUACUUAUAAUUAUGGAGUUGACAAGUAUAACAUCGGAAAUGGAUUUGGCCAUUUUGGCAUUGCAGUAGAGGAUGUUGCCAAGACAGUAAAUCUUGUGAAGGCAAAGGGGGGCAGAGUUACUCAAGAACCUGGAAUUGUUAAAGGUGGAAGUACAAUAACUGCUUUUGUUGAAGAUCCAGAUGGUUAUAAAUUUGAGCUUUUGCAGAGAGGGCCUACACCUGAGCCAAUGUGCCAAGUGAUGCUCAGGGUGGGUGAUCUUGAUCGCUCCAUUAAUUUCUACAAGAAGGCCUUUGGCAUGCAACUCCUCCGCAAAAGGGAUAACCCAGAAUCAAAGUAUACAGUAGGUUUUAUGGGGUAUGGUCCAGAAGAUAAGAAUGCUGUGCUGGAACUGACAUAUAACUAUGGAAUCACAGAAUAUGACAAAGGAAAUGGUUAUGCACAGAUAGCAAUAGGCACGAAUGACGUCUAUAAGAGUGCAGAAGCUAUUAAACUAUGUGGAGGAAACGUCAUUCUUGAACCUGGACCUCUACCAGGGAUCAAUACCAAGAUCACUGCAUGCUUGGACCCUGACGGAUGGAAAUCAGUCUUUGUUGAUAAUGUUGAUUUUCUCAGGGAACUGGAGUGAUCAGAGUAUCAUGGACCAUUUAUUCUGGAUUGAUUCCUGUGUUCUGAAAGAGGCAGGCUCGAGUAUAGCAAGAGUUGGCCAUAUAAAGCCUUACAUUGACUUGAGGUUUAAUUUUCAAGAAUUUGCUAUUUUAAUCCAGUGAGUAGAGUGGAACAGAAAAGAGAGAAGAAGAAAAUACCUUCAUUUCUUCACUGUCUCUUGGAGAUAUUGGAGGGCUACCACUAGCGCCACUCGGCAACUAUUCUUUGCGAGCUUGUGCAUUUUCAUCUUGCCCUUCAGCUUCAACAGAAUGCAAAUUUGGCUUUUUAACAUUAUGAUCAGAAGCAACAUGAGUAUUAGAAAGAGCUUUAGAAAGCUCCAUAGCAGAAAGACUCCAUGACCUAGCAAGAAACUCCAUAGACUCAGUAGGAGUUUCAGGUGCAUCACAAGAAGAGACUGUAGGUGGUUGCCAAAGAGCAGGAACACUUUCAUCAAUAUUUUCAAGCUUCCAUGAUAAGCUCUUUGUGCUGCUAGUGCUGGAAGAGCUCACUGAAUUACACAAAACCCAUGAAAAGAACAUAGUUAACUAUUGUUUUGUUUCAUUCUUUUUUUCUAAGCUAAAAUGCUUAUAGCUUUAUAAUAACUAAAAAAGAAGCUUACUUCUGAGUCUGCUAUUUCCUUUUGGUUCAGACUCUUCUGCACCCGUUUGGCCUUUGCUGCAACUUCUCAUGCUAUGAAAGAAAGCUAUUGAAGAAAGUGAGCACUGUUUGAUAUUUAACAUGGGAAGUGAAGCAGAAUUGCUUGUUUCUUUAUUGGAGAAGAUGAAAGUGAACAAAAAGUAAAGAUAUAAAUAUAUAGUGUAUGCUAUGCAGAAAAGGGGCCCUCUUUAAAGGGCAGUUCACCUUUGUCCUCAACUUCUGGUGUAUCCCUUUUUAACUCCACCCUUUCGUUUUAAUACUUAAAGUGCUAAAACCAAAUUUUUCUCGAGCGGCGGGUUCAUCAUUGCUAGGGUUCUUCUCUUUCUAUUUUUAAUGUAGAAAUGUUCCAAGGGUGGUUUUGAUUAAUUUGAUGUGAUAUCAUAGAAUUUAAAUUA